CGCAAGUCUGAACCAGCCAUGCCGCGUGCAGGAUGACUGCCCUACGGGUUGUAAACUGCUUUUACGUGAGAAAAAACUCCCCGGAUUCGGUUCGGGGACUGAUGGUAUCACAUGAAUAAGCAUCGGCUAACUCCGUUGCAGCAGCCGCGGGUAAUACGGAGGAUGCAAGCGUUAUCCCGGAUUCAUUGGGUCCAAAGGGUGUGCAGGCGGAAUGAUAAGUCGGAGGUGAAAUCCCCCGGCUCAACCGGGGACCUGCCUUGAAUACUGUUUGUUCUUGAGUAUAGUUGAAGUGGGCGGAAUUGUGUCAUGUAGCGUUGAAAUGCAUAGAUAUGACACAGAACACCGAUAGCGAAGGCAGCUCACUAACCUAUAACUGACGCUCAUGCACGAAAGCGUGGGGAGCANACAGGAUUAGAUACCCUGGUAGUCCACGCUGUAAACUAUGAUCACUAGUUGUUAGCGAUACACUUGUUAGCGACUGAGGGAAACCAUUAAGUGAUCCACCUGGGGAGUACGGCCGCAAGGGUUGAAACUCAAAGGAAUUGACGGGGGCCCGCACAAGCGGAGGAGCAUGUGGUUUAAUUCGACGAUACGCGAGGAACCUUACCUGGGCUUAAAUGCAGGACGACAUCCCGUGAAAACGGGAUUUCUUC
rnacentral:rRNA from 1 species